GUCACUAUAUGUAUAUGUAUGUACGUGUGUGUGUAUCCCUUCACUCUCAAAACUCCAAGGCCAUUCCUUAGCUCUUCAAUCACUGCUUCUCCCAGCCUCAAGUCCUACCUACAAAGCUCCCAAAACGGUGUCUCUGUCCCUUGGGCCCUACUGUCCUAUCUACCUACCCCCCUAUGCCCUCCCCCUCCCCAAUAAUUUCACGAGGGUACAGCGCCUUCCGUUCCAAAUUCAUUUCUCGCUCUACACUUUUUUUUCACCAUCUUUAAAACUCUCCCCUGAUCCAGGAAACCAAGCCUCCCCGGUGUCUGCUCCCCGACUCUUUUUCCAAGUUGCUCUCUCUAGCCCAGAGGUCUAGAACUCUGCGCUCCUCUUGCCUAAUCCCUUGACGUCGUCCUCCCUCGUCCCCUUACUUGCCCCGCUGUUACUCUCAGAGGCCCUCCUGGCGGGCCAUCCCACGGCCAGGCCUUCCUCCAGGUCGUGUGUCCCCCCCUCCCGGCCCCCCCGCGUCCCCCCUCCGCCGCCGCCUCGGGCCGCCGCCGCCCAGUGUCAGCUGUUCGGUCUCUCAAAGCCUUCUCAAAGACCAGUCUUUCAGGUUGUGGCCUUUGAAACUCCCCGAUCCCCCGGGCCCGGCUCAAAGACACCAGAGGGCCCGAAAACUCACCUAGGAACAGAAAGAUCAGGAUGAGCUUUGCGCCUUUAACCGGAGAGAGGCACAUCGUGAUCCCUCAGGCCAGGCGACCACCGGACCGACAAUUCCAACGAAUCCCCUCGCAGCCCUGCGGAAGCGAAAGCACGAGAGACCACCGACCGAGGCACCCAGGCACCGCAAAAGCCUGGACUCGCCGCUUCAGCUGGAGUCAUAAGACCAGGGGCGGGGUUCUUUAUUCCUUUCAGCCAAUCAGCAUGCUUAGAAACUGAGAGGGAGGCGGUGAUGUCCGGGCAGGAGGGCGGCGUGGCCACGCCCUGGCUUUUUGGUUCACAGCCAUUAUUAAACUAGAAAGAGUUGUGCGAGGAGGGCAUUUUUUUAAGGCUAGCAGGAAAGGAGGAACUUUGAUGCUUGUAGACAGUGGGUUAUUUCUAUUCUAGGUCCUUGAGAACAAACAGCAUCAUUUUUUCUGGCAACAAAACGGCUGCUAGGCCUCUCAAGAUAUAUAUGUAUGUAAAUUUAUAUAUGAAAAUAUAUGUAAAAAAUAAUACACGAUUAUUCAAGUAUAGAGACCACCUACACAGUUUAUACUAUAGGUGGAUAGGGAAGCUAGGGGGUAUGGAGUCAUUAACGACCAGAUCAGACCAUGCUCUUGAAGUUCAAAGUUAUAACACUCUCUUUCCUUGAUGGGGAAAUUGAAGUCAGAAAGAGGAAGCAUAUUUUUAAAUAGAGGAAGAAAAAAAGAGAGAGAAAUAAGAAUAGAAGGAAAUCAAGAUCACUCCCAUUACUACCCAGAGACACUCUUUACAAAAUACAUAAACUCCCAGAUAUUUUUCUAUCUGGAAUACAAAUACAGUUAAUGUUCUCUAAUGAGUUCAUACUAACCCGUAUUCUGUACGCUUGCCAAGUGAACAGUAAACAAACAUGUCUCAAAACAACAGAGGAAAACAACAUUAACGUAAAACUCCAGAGUUGGAAUAAAGCAAUGACCUUCAAAUGUUGCUUCCCAAAACACACACACUCACACACACACACACACACACACACACACUCUUCUCAGGGAUUUUGGAAGUAGUUUUUGUUUUGUUUAUUUUACCUGAUGAUGCCUUAGAGACUCUGAAACAAAUGCCCUUUUUCCUACAAGCUUACUGUUUGUUUGAGGUUUAAUCCUCACUAAGUUGCCUAAUAGUUUGACCUUACACUUAAAGUAUAGCUGUAGUUCAGGUGGCACUUGAACAUAUGAUUCCUCUGCCUCGGCAUGCCUAGUAGCUUGGAUUGCAGGGUUUCUCCUCCCAUCCUGUCUUAUUCCUUUACUAAACAAACACCUGGGGUGAUUCUGAUGCUGAGGCCCAUGAACUGCACUUAGAAAAGUACUAAAAGCCGUGGUGGCGCAUGCCUUUAAUCCCAGCACUCCAGAGGCAGAGGUAGGCAGAUCUCUGUGAGUUUGAGGUCAGCCUGUUCUACAGAGCAAGUUUCAGGACAGCCAGGUUCUGUUUGCACAGAGAAACCCUGUUUCAAAACAAACAAACAAAUAAAAAGACAAAGAGAAGCUCUAAAACAUAGCUUCAAAGUCAUGCAGUUUGGGAGAUCUUUAAUCUGUGGCUCUAUUUAAAAAUAAGCUUAAGAAGAGAUUUGUGGGGGCAGUUUAGUGAAUUCUCAGAAAUUCCAUGAGACACUGGUGAGGAUUUUUCUGUGGAACUUUAUAGAUUUAGUUAAUUCUACCCCAGUCCCCCACUCCAACCCAAAUAUUCAUAACCACAAAUCUGCAUUCUGUUGUUGUUGUUGUUUUUGACAGGGUCUCCCUACAUGGCCCUGGCCGGCCUGGAUCUCAUAUAGACCAGGCUGGCCUAGAACUCACAGAGAUCCCCCGGCCUCCAUCUCCAGUGCUGGGAUUAAGUGUGUGCACAAUCCAGCCUGACUGGAAGAUCACUGAUAAACCCUUUCCCCGGUAUUAGGACAAUGAAUCAUGUAAAGAGAGACCCUGUGAAUAUAGUGAAUAUAAUCAAAGUGUGCCCUACGAAUGUAUGAAAAAGGUCACACUGAAGUCUAUUAGUGUGUAUAAAUCACAAAUGUUAUUUAUGAUUUAAAAAAAAAAGACAAUAUUGACGGGGCCUGGUGGUAAACAACUUUAAUCCCAGCACUAGAGAGUCAGAUGCAGGAGGAUCUCUGUGAGGGAUUUUUGAGUUUGAGGCUAGCCUGGUCUACAGAGUGAGUUUGAGUCUAGCCUGGUCUACAGAGUGAGUUUGAGGCUAGCCUGGUCUACAGAGUGAGUUCCAGGACAGCCAGGGCCACUGGGGAUGGUCUUGAGCUGCCUCUACCUCCCUCCCAGGACCCCAGUGUUUAAAUAGCUCUGUAAACUGAAUUUCUAUAGCUUUACCACAAUUUAUUUUUAAAAUAAAUUAAUUAAUCUUCUCGUCAAGCAUGGUAGCACAUGAUUAUAAUCCCAGCACUAAGGAGUCUGAAGCAGGACUAUCAGAAAUCCAAGGCUAGCAUAAGAAAAAGGCUUAACAAAUACAUUUUUAAGCCACACUCAUCAGACUCAUGUGGUUAGUAUGAAAGUUGUACCUCAGAACACCACAUUUUCUUUUUUUUUUUCCUCUCUUUUCUUAUUUAUUUGAGACCUGGUCUCACUCCAUUGUCCAGACUGGCUUUUUGAAAUGUUAGAUAGGUCCAAGAAAUCCCCCUGCCGGAGAGCCCUGACUAGCUAGUACUCCAAGCACAUCCUACCAUUCCUGCCACACCAGCAUGUUCUUUAACAUGGCAUUUUAACCAACAACUUGCUUUGCCUUACUGGUUUGGGCAUUUGGAAAAGAGUCUCAGGUAAGUACUUGCCAGGGAGACAAAAGCAAAGUAGAUUCGGACCAUUGCGACGCUCAACUAGACUGCUGGAGCCCCUUCUGCCAUCAGAUUCUCACAGGAGCUUCCGUUCUCAAAAAUGCCAAUGAGUUGGAUUUGGCCCACCCACUCACUGUCUUUCUUCUUCAGGGAGCUGCAGUUCUUUUCUAAAUACCUUUGAACUAGUCGCACUCUGACCACAGUUCACCUGGCAUAACUCCUGUUCCUUAAAGUCAACAGAUUAACGAACUUCAAGAACAAUUGAACAAUACCAUCACAGUAACUAGGCUUGUUUUAGGUUGGUUAAUUAGCCUUGCUGACACAUCAAAAGAUCAUCAAAAAGGAGCAUGUUCUUUCAUUUCUUUCAUUUAAAAACGUUUUCAUAACAGUAUUGUUCCAAGGACGGUCCAGUCCACGGAACAGAAUAAACAGCUUAAAG
rnacentral:lncRNA from 1 species